GCGUGAGUGAAGACGGCCUUCGGGUUGUAAAGCUCUUUUAACUGUGAAGAUGAUGACAGUAGCAGUAGAAAAAGCCCCGGCUAACUUCGUGCCAGCAGCCGCGGUAAUACGAAGGGGGCGAGCGUUGCUCGGAUUUAUUGGGCGUAAAGCGCAUGUAGGCGGUUCGUGCGGUCGGUGGUGAAAGCCCAGAGCUUAACUCUGGAAUGGCCAUCGAUACCGGCGAGCUAGAGGGUAAGAGAGGACAACGGAAUUCCGAGUGUAGCAGUUAAAUGCAU
rnacentral:rRNA from 1 species